GAUAGAAUAAUAUCCUACUACAAAGUCUGUCUAACACUGAUAAUACGGAAAUAAAGGAUAAAGAUAGAGGGGCGAAUUAUUGGCUGUGAACGCCCUGCAGCUACACCAAAUACUCCCGGAAAGAACUCUGGAUCAGCUGAAAUUACUCAGCCUGACACUGCCCUGGAUCUGUACACAAGGUGCAUGGAGCAAAGUGAGUACUCAAACUUAGUGAAUAAAAAACAUAUCUAAAGUCUAAAAGAAAGAAAACGCAGGAAAUGCACAAAGUACUCUAUAUCUAGAAGUAUAUAUCCAAACCAGCGGAAAAAGUGUACAACAAAUAAUACAGUUAAGAAAUAAUGCAUGAAAGGAUGCAACACAUAUAACGAUACACUCUAGUACCCGUAGCGGCGUGCAGCCCGCUCCACUUAUUUAACGUCGACGACGCUCGCUGAGGGUGUGUACAGACUCUGAAUGGUCUCCUACAGCCCAAGCGCAAUAUCAGCCAGGUAUUGGCAUAAAACAGGUUCUCGGCCUCAAUAUCAAUAAUAUAAUCGUUACGACGUGUAGCCCGAGCCAUAUCAGAAAUCAUCCUCACUACAGGGUCCCCGACCCAUCUCAUUCAAACAAUUCCACAGCCAAUCGAGCAUGACAUACUAUAGGGAUCUCAGCCCUCAUAUCCUUUUCAUUUAAGGCUCACGUAUAAAACACAUUUAUUUUAUUGUUUUUAGUAUUUGAAAACAUGAGUGAGAAUUUAUGCUAUGCACACAAGGGAGGAAAACACAUAAUGAUCCCCUAAGGAUUCUACAGGUCGGCACAAGGCCCCAAACAUGGCAAUAAGCGCAAUUCAUUGUAACAAAGUAUGUGUUUCAAUUGCCAAUAUAGUAGAAAUUAACACCCAGGAUGGACUAAGUCUCAAUCCCCAACAGUAUACGACCCCGCACUCAUCAUGGAAUAUGUGUCACGCCUCAAUAUAGCAUUAUGAUGUGAAAGUCUGGGGUUUCAAACCCCCAUAGCAGCAGUUACAUCAAUUACUCUCCUCUAGCCGGGCGAAAACUAGCUAGCAAUGCCCUUGCCUCUCGAAUCGACCUCCUCGCGUGUCGAAUCUGGCCAAAACCACAACAAAUACAUUACAAUAGGCUAAGGGAAUAUAACCCAAUCAAAAAGACUCAAAAAUAUCGAAAACCACGAAAUUUGAAAAACCCGAGCCCCAAACCUACUUCUCGAAAGUCAGAAUUUUUAAAUCAAAAUAUUUCUUAUCUCACAACGAGUCUAUACAUGAAAAAUUCAUCAAAAUCAGAGUCCAUAUGCUCCCUCAAAAUCCAACUUCUCAUUAAGAAAAUACAAGCCCUAGUUCUUCCCUUUUUACUCGAAUUCCAAGAAUUUUGGAGUUGAAAUCACAAUUAGAUGAUGUUUCUAGGCCAUAGGACUUACCUCCAAUCAAUUCUCAGUGAAAACCCUCUAAAUUCCUCGUCAAAAGCUCCUAAGGUUGCUUAACAAUGGUGGAAAAUAGACUUGGUUUGCGGAUGAAAUGUUAUUAAAAACCCUUCUCUGCCCAGUUAUUUCCUUCUAUGCGAACGCGAGACCCCCUCGCAUUCGCGAUGCACAAAAUUUACAUUGGCCGACUUACCCUUCACGAACAUGGUGACUUACCCGCAAAUGCGAUGCCUUGCCUGAUCCUACUACUCGAACGCAUGCCCUGUACUGCGUAUGUGAAGAACAUUACAUAGGGGUCCUCAAUCUCUUAUACGCGAACGCGACAAGCACCAUCGCGAACGCGACGCUCAUUUCCAGGACUCUACACGAACGCGAUUACAUGGACGCGAACGCGAAGAACAAAAACCCCAGGGCCGCAAAUCCUUCUACGCGAACGCGGUUGCCCACUCGCGUCCGCGAAGACCAAACACCUGCUGCACUGACUGAUGCAUUUCUGUAAUGUUCUAAGUCCAAUUUUCUUCGUUUGAUCACCCGGAAUCACCUUAAGGCCCCCGUGACCUCAACCAAAAACACCAACAUACCCCAAAACUUCAUACAAACUCGUUCCAAUCCUCAAAGCACGUCAAACAAUACCAAAAUCAUCAAUUCACCACGGAUUCAAGCCUAAGUUAGUCAAAUUCUUCCGAAACACACAUAUGAUCAAAAACCCGACUAAACGACGUCCGAAUGACACGAAAAUUUGCACACACAUCAUAAAUCACCUAACAAAGCUACUGAAACUCUUGAAAUUCCACUUCGACCCUCGAAUCAAAAUCUCAACUAUCAACCGAAAUUCGCCAAAAUUCAAACUUAGCCAAUUCAAGCGUAAUUCUACACUGAGUCUCCAAAAUUACUUCUGAUUGCUCUCCAAAGCCUAAAAUCAUCCCCCGAAACUAACCAAAUCAUCAUAAAUCCAUUACAAGCUCUCUGACUCAUAAAUCAACAUCCGUUGACUUCUCCAAACCAACCAUUCCUUAAAGAGACAAAUUGUCUCAUUUCCAACCAAACUCUAACCGAACUACUUCAAAUUCACCAAACACAGACAUUGAAACAUGUAGAAGCAUUAAACGGGAAAAAUUACACGAAAAUACAUGAGACGACAGGUCGGAUAGUCACAAGUAGUCUCCUUGAGAGACUUAUGAGAAAGCAGAGAGGACAGCAGGUUCAAGGCAAAUAGAAUGAGGAAACUAAUUUGAAAUACAGGGAACACAUUUAAGCACAUCUUGCUAAUCAAAUAAGUUCAGAAAAGAAGAGGCAACAUAAGCUUAGAAAAAUAGAAGAGGAAGCAUGCUUAGAGUUUAAAACAAAUGUCCAGUAAGGCAAACAAAGGUUAAAAGCUCAGUAAAUAUAGCAAAGGAACGCAUGCUUAUAGAUUUCAGUAGAAAGAAGAACAGAAUAGACCAUUCAUAACACGGAAAGUAUAAGAACACAAGAGAAAAACUCAUACAAACAUGGCAUAGAUAGAUUCAGACAAAGAAAAGAAGAAGAAGAGAUAAAAGUUAUAUUGAGAUUUUCAGAAACACUAAAUCGAAAUUAAUUUUUCUAAAAAGAGAAUUGGGGAAAAGGCUUAAAACGUCGAAAAUAGCACAGAUUACCAUAGAUCUAGGAAAAUAGAAGAAUAAGGAACAUCGAAUAGCUUUAGGGUUUCUCUGAAACCCUAGAAAUGAGAAGGCUUGGAAGAAAGUCUGGUCCAGAGUCGAAGUUGGCCAUAGCUAGCCUCCUAAAGCUUGAAUACGUCGGAGCAAGGCCGGAGAGGCCAUAAAACCACAGAUCUGUAGAGGGUCUGAACAAACUCCCUCGAGGUCAGACCUCAAAAUCUCGAACACCCAUGGUUUGUGGGUGAAUGAAGGUUAGUACAGGCCGUCCAUGGCAUGAGAAGCAAUGGAGUCCGGUGAGAUAAUGGUCGGAGAAAGGGGGCGGCUGCUAGGGUUUCGAGUGCUUGAGAGAGUUUUCAGGGAGAAGAGGUUUCAGAGGCGGUUGUCUAA
rnacentral:lncRNA from 1 species